GCUGAAUUGGCCAAGUGGUAAGGCGCCUCUUUAGUAAGGAGGCGAUCAGGAGUUCGAACCUCCUAUUCAGCA
rnacentral:tRNA from 1 species